rnacentral:rRNA from 1 species
UACGGGGGGGGCAAAUGUUGUUCGGAAUCACUGGGCGUAAAGGGCGCGUAGGCGGGCUUCUAAGUUAGAUGUUUAAUCCCGGGGCCCAACCCCGGACAGGCACCUAAAACUGGAAGUCUUGAAUAGUGGAGAGGACGGCGGAAUUGGGGGUGUAGCGGUGGAAUGCGUAGAGAUCCCCAAGAACACCAGUUGCGAAGGCGGCCGUCUGGACACAUAUUGACGCUGAGGCUCGAAAGCAUGGGGAGCAAACAGG